rnacentral:sRNA from 1 species
AUCAGAGGAAUCAGAAUGGCUUCCACCAUCUUCUUCUACGUAAUCUUUCCUAUCGUCUUCGUCCUCGCUCUCAAUGUAAAAGCUUUGAUCAGACGGUACGUGAUUCAU